AGAGUUUGAUCCUGGCUCAGGACGAACUUUGGCGGCGUGCUUAACACAUGCAAGUCGAACGAGAAUCUGCUGAAGGAGGAUUCGUCCAACGGAAGCAGAGGAAAGUGGCGGACGGGUGAGUAACGCGUGAGGAACCUGCCUUGAAGAGGGGGACAACAGUUGGAAACGACUGCUAAUACCGCAUGACGCAUAGGAGUCGCAUGGCUCUUAUGCCAAAGAUUUAUCGCUUCAAGAUGGCCUCGCGUCUGAUUAGCUAGUUGGCGGGGUAACGGCCCACCAAGGCGACGAUCAGUAGCCGGACUGAGAGGUUGAACGGCCACAUUGGGACUGAGAUACGGCCCAGACUCCUACGGGAGGCAGCAGUGGGGAAUAUUGGGCAAUGGGCGCAAGCCUGACCCAGCAACGCCGCGUGAAGGAAGAAGGCUUUCGGGUUGUAAACUUCUUUUAAGAGGGAAGAGCAGAAGACGGUACCUCUAGAAUAAGCCACGGCUAACUACGUGCCAGCAGCCGCGGUAAUACGUAGGUGGCAAGCGUUGUCCGGAUUUACAGGGUGUAAAGGGCGUGCAGCCGGGUCUGCAAGUCAGAUGUGAAAUCCAUGGGCUCAACCCAUGAACUGCAUUUGAAACUGUAGAUCUUGAGUGUCGGAGGGGCAAUCGGAAUUCCUAGUGUAGCGGUGAAAUGCGUAGAUAGUAGGAGGAACACCAGUGGCGAAGGCGGAUUGCUGGACGAUAACUGACGGUGAGGCGCGAAAGUGUGGGGAGCAAACAGGAUUAGAUACCCUGGUAGUCCACACUGUAAACGAUGAAUACUAGGUGUGCGGGGACUGACCCCCUGCGUGCCGCAGUUAACACAAUAAGUAUUCCACCUGGGGAGUACGAUCGCAAGGUUGAAACUCAAAGGAAUUGACGGGGGCCCGCACAAGCGGUGGAUUAUGUGGUUUAAUUCGAAGCAACGCGAAGAACCUUACCAGGGUUUGACAUCCUGCUAACGAAGUAGAGAUACAUUAGGUGCCCUUCGGGGAAAGCAGAGACAGGUGGUGCAUGGUUGUCGUCAGCUCGUGUCGUGAGAUGUUGGGUUAAGUCCCGCAACGAGCGCAACCCUUGCCUUUAGUUGCCAUCAUUAAGUUGGGCACUCUAGAGGGACUGCCAGGGAUAACCUGGAGGAAGGUGGGGAUGACGUCAAAUCAUCAUGCCCCUUAUGCUUAGGACUACACACGUGCUACAAUGGCAAGUACAAAGAGAAGCAAUACUGUGAAGUGGAGCAAAACUCAAAAACUUGUCUCAGUUCGGAUUGUAGGCUGAAACUCGCCUACAUGAAGCUGGAGUUGCUAGUAAUCGCGAAUCAGAAUGUCGCGGUGAAUACGUUCCCGGGUCUUGCACUCACCGCCCGUCA
rnacentral:rRNA from 1 species